UACGGGGGGGGCAAGCGUUGUUCGGAAUUACUGGGCGUAAAGGGCUCGUAGGCGGCCAAGUAAGUCGGACGUGAAAUCCCUCGGCUUAACCGGGGAACUGCGUCCGAUACUGGAUGGCUAGAGUUCGGGAGAGGGAUGCGGAAUUCCAGGUGUAGCGGUGAAAUGCGUAGAUAUCUGGAGGAACACCGGUGGCGAAGGCGGCAUCCUGGACCGACACUGACGCUGAGGAGCGAAAGCCAGGGGAGCAAACGGG
rnacentral:rRNA from 1 species